rnacentral:rRNA from 1 species
AGAGUGAACGCUGGCGGCAGGCCUAACACAUGCAAGUCGAGCGGCAGCGCAGCAGUAGCAAUACUGUGGGCGGCGAGCGGCGGACGGGUGAGGAACACAUCGGAAUCUGCCGAUCUCUGGGGGAUAGCCAGCCUAACGGCUGGGUAAUACCGCAUACGCUCGUUGGGGGGAGUCCCCUGAUGAGGAAACCUCCGGGGGAGAUCGAGGAGCUCGCGACCUAUCAGCUAGUUGGCGGGGUAACGGCCCACCAAGGCAGCGACGGGUA